AUACAUGCAAGUCGAGCGAACAGACGAGGAGCUUGCUCCUCUGACGUUAGCGGCGGACGGGUGAGUAACACGUGGAUAACCUACCUAUAAGACUGGGAUAACUUCGGGAAACCGGAGCUAAUACCGGAUAAUAUAUUGAACCGCAUGGUUCAAUAGUGAAAGACGGUUUUGCUGUCACUUAUAGAUGGAUCCGCGCCGCAUUAGCUAGUUGGUAAGGUAACGGCUUACCAAGGCAACGAUGCGUAGCCGACCUGAGAGGGUGAUCGGCCACACUGGAACUGAGACACGGUCCAGACUCCUACGGGAGGCAGCAGUAGGGAAUCUUCCGCAAUGGGCGAAAGCCUGACGGAGCAACGCCGCGUGAGUGAUGAAGGUCUUCGGAUCGUAAAACUCUGUUAUUAGGGAAGAACAAAUGUGUAAGUAACUAUGCACGUCUUGACGGUACCUAAUCAGAAAGCCACGGCUAACUACGUGCCAGCAGCCGCGGUAAUACGUAGGUGGCAAGCGUUAUCCGGAAUUAUUGGGCGUAAAGCGCGCGUAGGCGGUUUUUUAAGUCUGAUGUGAAAGCCCACGGCUCAACCGUGGAGGGUCAUUGGAAACUGGAAAACUUGAGUGCAGAAGAGGAAAGUGGAAUUCCAUGUGUAGCGGUGAAAUGCGCAGAGAUAUGGAGGAACACCAGUGGCGAAGGCGACUUUCUGGUCUGUAACUGACGCUGAUGUGCGAAAGCGUGGGGAUCAAACAGGAUUAGAUACCCUGGUAGUCCACGCCGUAAACGAUGAGUGCUAAGUGUUAGGGGGUUUCCGCCCCUUAGUGCUGCAGCUAACGCAUUAAG
rnacentral:rRNA from 1 species